AUUGAACGCUGGCGGCAUGCCUUACACAUGCAAGUCGAACGGCAGCACGGGAGCAAUCCUGGUGGCGAGUGGCGAACGGGUGAGUAAUAUAUCGGAACGUGCCCAGUAGUGGGGGAUAACUGCUCGAAAGAGCAGCUAAUACCGCAUACGACCUGAGGGUGAAAGGGGGGGAUCGCAAGACCUCUCGCUAUUGGAGCGGCCGAUAUCAGAUUAGCUAGUUGGUGGGGUAAAGGCCUACCAAGGCAACGAUCUGUAGUUGGUCUGAGAGGACGACCAGCCACACUGGGACUGAGACACGGCCCAGACUCCUACGGGAGGCAGCAGUGGGGAAUUUUGGACAAUGGGCGCAAGCCUGAUCCAGCAAUGCCGCGUGCAGG
rnacentral:rRNA from 1 species